UGGGGAAUUUUGGACAAUGGGCGAAAGCCUGAUCCAGCAAUGCCGCGUGUGUGAAGAAGGCCUUCGGGUUGUAAAGCACUUUUGUCCGGAAAGAAAUCCUUGGCUCUAAUACAGUCGGGGGAUGACGGUACCGGAAGAAUAAGCACCGGCUAACUACGUGCCAGCAGCCGCGGUAAUACGUAGGGUGCAAGCGUUAAUCGGAAUUACUGGGCGUAAAGCGUGCGCAGGCGGUUUGCUAAGACCGAUGUGAAAUCCCCGGGCUCAACCUGGGAACUGCAUUGGUGACUGGCAGGCUAGAGUAUGGCAGAGGGGGGUAGAAUUCCACGUGUAGCAGUGAAAAUGCGUAGAGAUGUGGAGGAAUACCGAUGGCGAAGGCAGCCCCCUGGGCCAAUACUGACGCUCAUGCACGAAAAGCGUGGGGGAGCAAAACAGGAUUAGAUACCCUGGUAGUCCACGCCCUAAAACGAUGUCAACUAGUUGUUGGGGAUUCAUUUCCUUAGUAACGUAGCUAACGCGUGAAGUUGACCGCCUGGGGAGUACGGUCGCAAAGAUUAAAAACUUAAAUGAAUUG
rnacentral:rRNA from 1 species